GGCUCCAGACCAGUAGGUGGAGUGCCCAGGGCACAAUGUCCAGGAAUCACAUUGGCCAGGUCCAUCAUGUCCAUUCACCCUAAGCUGCAGAAUGACACAUGACUAGAGGCCCUGCAUAGAGCCAAGUUCAAAUUCCCCCACUACCAAAAGAUCCAUAUCUCAAAGAAGUGGGGCUUACAGAUAAAUUUAAAGAUGUGAUAGCUAGGAAGCAGCCCAUCGCUGAUAGCUGGGGUCAAAUUUUUCCCCAACUAGGGC
rnacentral:lncRNA from 1 species